UACAGAGGGCCCAAGCGUUGUUCGGAAUUAUUGGGCGUAAAGGGUGCGUAGGCGGUCGGAUAAGUUGGAUGUGAAAUGCCGGAGCUUAACGUCGAACCUGCAUUUAAGACUGUCCUGCUUGAGCGCUAGAGAGGAGUCUGGAAUUUACGGUGUAGCAGUGAAAUGCGUAGAUAUCGUAAGGAAGGCCAGUGGCGAAAGCGAGACUCUGGCUAGAUGCUGACGCUGAGGCACGAAAGCUGGGGGAGCAAACGGG
rnacentral:rRNA from 1 species